rnacentral:lncRNA from 1 species
UCCAAGCUCUGUGGCUAGGAUAGUAGGAUCCAACGGGAACGCUUGCAGCCGCUGCUUCUUCCUCCAUGCUCUCACCGCCGCCACGGCGAGCAGGAACACAUCUCGCUGAUUAGCAACGAGUCUAGUCUUGAAGGUUUAUUUCGAGAGAGAUGAGUUACACAAACAAGCAACAUCUAACCGGACGAACUAACUUUAUUAUUCCGGAAACGAAGACGACUCACUCUACCCAGCAGCAGCUCACGAGUUCAAACAGCCAGUCGCACACAUACAUUACAGUCCAUGAAUGUCCAUCCAUCAAAAACCAACUCUCGUGCCAGGCCCCAACCGGCCCGGCGCAGCUUACUUAACUUAGGUGCAAGGGGGCGAGGAGCCUAGGAGGACUGCCGGAGCUCAGGGCGCACGAAGUCGGCGUCGGCCGUCACCGAGAUGUCGACGGUGGGCCUCAGCUCGGCGCACACCUCGAUGGCGCCGUGGACGGGGUCCGACAUGAAGUUGCUGAUGAGGUCCUGGUUGAUGGGCUCGUCCUUGUCCACCGUCACGAACGCCUGCUGGGUCAGGAUGUAGUCGAAGCGGGG